rnacentral:tRNA from 1 species
UUAAAAGAUAAGCUAAAUUAAAGCUAAUGGGCUCAUACCCCGUAAAUGAAAUCAAUCUUUCUCUUUUUAA